AUUGAACGCUGGCGGCAUGCCUAACACAUGCAAGUCGAACGAAGCCUUCGGGCUUAGUGGCGCACGGGUGCGUAACGCGUGGGAAUCUGCCCUUGGGUUCGGAAUAACAGUUAGAAAUGACUGCUAAUACCGGAUGAUGUCUUCGGACCAAAGAUUUAUCGCCCAAGGAUGAGCCCGCGUAGGAUUAGGUAGUUGGUGGGGUAAUGGCCCACCAAGCCGACGAUCCUUAGCUGGUCUGAGAGGAUGAUCAGCCACACUGGGACUGAGACACGGCCCAGACUCCUACGGGAGGCAGCAGUGGGGAAUAUUGGACAAUGGGCGAAAGCCUGAUCCAGCAAUGCCGCGUGAGUGAUGAAGGCCUUAGGGUUGUAAAGCUCUUUUACCAGGGAUGAUAAUGACAGUACCUGGAGAAUAAGCUCCGGCUAACUCCGUGCCAGCCGCCGCGGUAA
rnacentral:rRNA from 1 species